rnacentral:siRNA from 1 species
AGCCUAGUUGAAGAUGAAGAACAA